rnacentral:rRNA from 1 species
AUGAAAAUAAUAGGCUGGAACUGCCGGGGACUCGGAAAUGGCCCGGCAGUUCGUAGUCUCCUCGAGUUGGGGAGGUUGGAAGAUCCGGAUGUUUUAUUUUUGUGUGAGACAAAACUGUUUGAGAAGGAAUUAGAGAGGUUCAGGUGGAUGUUGGGGCUCGCCAACAUGUGUGCGUGGAGUUCUGAAGGAAGGAGUAGGGGAGUAGUGAUGUUUUGGAGACGUGGAAUAAACAUUACUUUG